AGGUCAGCCAACUUCGAAGGAUGGUUUCGAAACAGACAACACCAAAUUCAGCAGAAGUUACUCUUACUCCAUUUGGAAGCGUUGGCCGUUGCUGAUAUGUCGUCAUGGAUGACCGCGAAAAAUGAGGUCGAAAUUGUGGAUUUUAUCCUCAAAACACGAGAAAAAAUGAAAAGUGCUAGGCAUUUCGAAACCCAAGUCACAGACGAUGUUUUGAAAAAGCUAUGUCUUCAGAUGGAACAAGUGUUGGAUACCUUACCACAAGAUCUUCAACACAUUCUACGAAAGGGUUGAACUUCAUUUGGUGCAAGAAAGUUGUGGGCACCCAACCGGUGAAGGGAAAGAAAAGAUCCGGUCUUAGGAAGGGACGGCCGCACAAAGUUGCCAUUCUAAGCUCUUUCCAAAAUUUUUUUGCAAGCAAUUGCUUAAAUUUCUUUGAGAGAGAAUGCGGAUUUCCAUGUCAAAAGUCAGUCGGGAAAUCUAUGCGACAACGAAGCAAGCUUCGGGGAAAGAGAAUGUACAAAUUUUAUUGGAAUAAAUUGGAUAUAUUGUACAAUGCUGUGCUAUUCAAUGUUCAUGUGAUACAUAAUAAAAGGCGUUGUUUUGUUCUGGUGGGUAA